UGGGGAAUUUUGGACAAUGGGCGCAAGCCUGAUCCAGCAAUGCCGCGUGCAGGAUGAAGGCCUUCGGGUUGUAAACUGCUUUUGUACGGAACGAAAAAGCUCUCUCUAAUACAGGGGGUGAAUGACGGUACCGUAAGAAUAAGCACCGGCUAACUACGUGCCAGCAGCCGCGGUAAUACGUAGGGUGCAAGCGUUAAUCGGAAUUACUGGGCGUAAAGCGUGCGCAGGCGGUUUUGUAAGACAGAGGUGAAAUCCCCGGGCUCAACCUGGGAACUGCCUUUGUGACUGCAAAGCUGGAGUGCGGCAGAGGGGGGUGGAAUUCCGCGUGUAGCAGUGAAAUGCGUAGAUAUGCGGAGGAACACCGAUGGCGAAGGCGAUCCCCUGGGCCUGCACUGACGCUCAUGCACGAAAGCGUGGGGAGCAAACA
rnacentral:rRNA from 1 species